rnacentral:lncRNA from 1 species
GCCGCUAUCCCACAAGGCCGCUGCGGCGGAAGCAGGACGUCGAGAGGUUGCGCGGAAACCAAUGGGAAGCCAGGAUAAGGACGCAGAGGCAGGACGGGAAGGCGUGAGAGAGAUGGAGUCAAUGGGCAGCCGCCGUGGAUGGGGGCCAAACAGGAGGAGCCAAUGGGAGGCCAGAGGAAACCAGGGUCCCUCGUGAUGGGUCUGACUCGGUUCAAGCAGUGGGAGAAGCUGGGGAGAGAUGCAAAGACCUGGCAGCCACAUACCCUGGACUGGCUGCAGCGCUGAGGGGUAAUGCCACCUGAAGUGGAGCAGAACUGGUCUUCCCUGCUGUGGUACAUGUUCUUCCAGACUGAGAGAGAGCAAAGUCUGAUGUUACCUGCUCAGUAUGGUUACCCACAGGCUCGUGAAGAUUGGAGACUAACGAUCCAAGUCACGAUAAGAAGCAAGGCACUCUCUCUCACCCCUUUCAGCCUAGCCUGUUUGGAUUAUUACCAGCUGAUCCCAUCUAAACAACACGAAACAAAGGCGGUGCAGUCCUUGCCAAAGAAGCCUUUAGUCUUAGCUGCAGAAGUAAUGAAGUUCAGACUCAUCACAGGCAAAACACAUGACUCUCCCAGCAGCUCAGAAGCUUGCAGCCAGAUCUACUAAGCAUUUGCUGAGCAUUUGCAAUUGCAUUGGCUUAAAUGGGAGCCGGAGUUUGUCAGCAGUGACAGUCAGGUCCAUAGGAUACAAGACAUACCUGCAGAUACAGGGCUGGGUAAGUCUCAUCAGACUGUGUUAGACUCAAGGUGGGACUUUUUCAUAACCUGAAGUUGUAGCAGAAAUAAACUUCCUUUCUUCAGUGUUGUCUUUCCUCCA